UGAGAGAGCUUCACCAGUCUUCCCC
rnacentral:piRNA from 1 species